rnacentral:tRNA from 1 species
AGGCGCUAUGUGGCAGCAAAAAAUCUGACUCUUAAUCAGCGGGUCCCAGGUUCGAGCCCUGGUGCGCCCACCA